GAAAGAAUUUCGGUGGAGGAUGACUUCGCGGCCUAUCAGCUAGUUGGUGAGGUAAUGGCUCACCAAGGCAACGACGGGUAGCCGGCCUGAGAGGGCGACCGGCCACACUGGGACUGAGACACGGCCCAGACUCCUACGGGAGGCAGCAGUGGGGAAUAUUGGGCAAUGGAGGAAACUCUGACCCAGCGACGCCGCGUGCGGGAUGAAGGCCUUCGGGUUGUAAACCGCUUUCAGUAGGGAAGAAGCGAAAGUGACGGUACCUACAAAAGAAGCACCGGCUAACUAUGUGCCAGCAGCCGCGGUAAUACAUAGGGUGCAAGCGUUGUCCGGAAUUAUUGGGCGUAAAGAGCUCGUAGGUCGUUUGUUACGUCGGAUGUGAAAACCUGAGGCUCAACCUCAGGCCUGCAUUCGAUACGGUCAAACUAGAGUUUGGUAGGGGAGACUGGAAUUCCUGGUGUAGCGGUGGAAUGCUCAGGUAUCAGGAGGAACACCAAUGGCGAAGGCAGGUCUCUGGGCCA
rnacentral:rRNA from 1 species